rnacentral:pre_miRNA from 1 species
AUAUGCACAUGACUCACCCAGGGAUCUUGUUAAAAGGCAGAUUUUGACUCAAGAAGUCUGGAAGGAGACUCGAGAAUUUCCAUUUCUAACAAGCUCCCAGGUGGUGCUGAU